rnacentral:tRNA from 1 species
UGGAGUAUAGCCAAGUGGUAAGGCAUCGGUUUUUGGUACCGGCAUGCAAAGGUUCGAAUCC